rnacentral:rRNA from 1 species
AACGUAGGAAGCGAGCGUUAUCCGGAUUUACUGGGCGUAAAGCGCGUGUAGGCGGUCAUGUAAGUUGGAUGUGAAAGCUCCUGGCUUAACUGGGAGAGGUCGUUCAAGACUGCAAGACUAGAGGAUGGGAGAGGGAAGUGGAAUUCCGGGUGUAGUGGUGAAAUGCGUAGAUAUCCGGAGGAACACCAGUGGCGAAAGCGGCUUCCUGGCCCAUAACUGACGCUCAGACGCGAAAGCUAGGGGAGCGAACGGG